CCUACGGGAGGCAGCAGUGAGGAAUAUUGGUCAAUGGGCGCGAGCCUGAACCAGCCAAGUCGCGUGAGGGAAGACGGUCCUAUGGAUUGUAAACCUCUUUUGCCGGGGAGCAACAGGCGCCACGUGUGGCGUUCCGAGAGUACCCGGGGAAAAAGCCUCGGCUAAACCCGUGCCAGCAGCCCCGGUAAUACGGAGGAUGCGAGCGGUAUUCGGAUUUAUUGGGUUUAAAUGGUGCGCAGGCGGAAGAUCAAGUCAGCGGUAAAAGUGAGAGGCUCAACCUCUUCGAGCCGUUGAAACUGGUGCUCUUGAGUGAGCGAGAAGUAUGCGGAAUGCGUGGUGUAGCGGUGAAAUGCAUAGAUAUCACGCAGAACUCCGAUUGCGAAGGCAGCAUACCGGCGCUCGACUGACGCUCAUGCACGAAAGUGUGGGUAUCGAACAGGAUUAGAUACCCGUGUAGUC
rnacentral:rRNA from 1 species